rnacentral:rRNA from 1 species
UACAGAGGUCUCAAGCGUUGUUCGGAUUUAUUGGGCGUAAAGAGCGUGUAGGCGGUUAUGCAGGUCCGCUGUGAAAACUGGAGGCUUAACCUCCAGACGUCGGUGGAAACCGUAUGACUAGAGUCCGGAAGAGGAGAGUGGAAUUCCUGGUGUAGCGGUGAAAUGCGCAGAUAUCAGGAGGAACACCCGUGGCGAAAGCGGCUCUCUGGGACGGUACUGACGCUGAGACGCGAAAGCGUGGGGAGCAAACAGG